rnacentral:rRNA from 1 species
GUAACUCGUCCGGUUGCAAACUUUCGCGGUUUUGUUAGAGACAACUCAGCAAGUUGGUUACGAUAUAAAGAAGAGGUAGCGGUCAAAUGUGGAUCUCUUUCGUGUUAAAUUCCAAUUUGUGACUUAAAGGUUUCUUACGUAAUUUCGGAGCAAAACCAGGUUUAGUAUCCUGCUAUUCUUAACGUUAAAGGAAUUAGUACCACCUCACUAAGCAUUGGUUUGUCAAAGGGAAAUAAAUUGGCGGCGUGUGAGCUAAAAAUCAGGGGAAUCGGGGUGUUAAAGGAUGGUCCACCUACAUUUCACCCCUUUUUUAUAAUUAGCGUAUGUAUGGUUGUUUAUUUCUUGUUGUAAAACGUUUGAUAAAGUACCCGUUGGCAUUUAGUUGAGAAGCCCAAAGAAAGCUAUCUUUGGAAAUUUCAACCCUGCACAAUGGCAGAGAAUUAUUCUUGUAAAACAAUAAUUCUCAUGUUUUUCAAGGGUAUCAAUUCAGAUUGACACGCAGCUAUAAAAGGGUUAGCCUGGAUUACAAUUAAAACUCAAUAUAAUUAGGUUAGGUCUUUAACAUGGGCUAUUAAAAUAGUCUUCUUGUUCAGCUCUCGCCUAAACAGGGAGGCAAGUACUUUAGACGAAAGUCUUUUGCGGGGGUGUAGUAGCCUAAGUUCUCAUAAAACUCUAGCUAUCUCUCCUUAUAAGGAUGUCUAUUUGAAAGCGUCUGAAUUUCAGUCAAAUUAAACGGUGUGGAAACAUGUUUAUGAAGAAGGACUUGGAAGUAAAGUUCUUAAAUAAUAGGUACUUGAUUCAUUUCACACGAGUACAGAUCGCCCGUCGCUCACGGGUUUAAACCUGGGAUAAGUCGUAC